GGCUGCUCCUGUGGCCUAGUGGUUAGAGUGUCCACCUCGGAUGCGGGAGGUCACGGGUUCAAACCCUGGCUAAGUCA